rnacentral:rRNA from 1 species
CUCUGUGACUCCUACGGGAGGCAGCAUGGGGGAAUAUUGCACAAUGGGCGCAAGCCUGAUGCAGCAACGCCGUGUGAGUGAAGAAGGUUUUCGGAUCGUAAAACUCUGUCCUAAGGGAAGAAACAAAUGACGGUACCUUAGGAGGAAGCCCCGGCUAACUACGUGCCAGCAGCCGCGGUAAUACGUAGGGGGCAAGCGUUAUCCGGAAUCACUGGGCGUAAAGGGUGCGUAGGCGGCUUAGCAAGCCAGGGGUGAAAGGCAUUGGCUCAACCAAUGUAAGCCUUUGGAACUGUUAAGCUUGAGUGCAGGAGAGGUAAGUGGAAUUCCUAGUGUAGAGGUGAAAUUCGUAGAUAUUAGGAGGAACACCAGUGGCGAAGGCGACUUUCUGGACUGUAACUGACGCUGAGGCACGAAAGCGUGGGGAGCGAACAGGAUUAGAUACCCUGGUAG